UACAGAGGUCCCGAGCGUUGUUCGGAUUCAUUGGGCGUAAAGGGUGCGUAGGCGGCGGGGCAAGUCUGAUGUGAAAUCCUGGGGCUCAACCCUGGAACUGCAUUGGAUACUGCCUUGCUAGAGUAUGGGAGAGGGCAGUGGAAUUUCCGGUGUAGCGGUGAAAUGCGUAGAUAUCGGAAGGAACAUCAGUGGCGAAAGCGACUGCCUGGACCAAUACUGACGCUCAUGUGCGAAAGCGUGGGGAGCAAACAGG
rnacentral:rRNA from 1 species